AGUAAUACAUCCACCAUUUUGUUUUGUGUGUGUGUUUUUGGAUGUUUGUUUGUUUGUUGUUAUAUUUUGUAAUUUAAUAUGAAAUCUAUUUCUUUUAAAUCACUAAAAUCUAAUUAGGGAUACAGUCCUAACCAAUCACGAAACUAACAAAAAAAUUAAACGGAUUUAAUUGUUCAUACAGUGGGUCGUGCGUCAGAUGUUUACCUAGAUUCAGCCAUAGACAAAACACAAGUUGAAAACCAGCGACGUAACCAUCUGAUGAAAGCUGAAGAAAAAUCACAGAAUAACCUGCAGAAGUGAUAGGACACACUAGUUCAAACAAAAUUUUCUACUGCUCUCAACAUUCUUUGACUUUCAAACUUCCUCGUAUUGGGCUGCCCAGAACCCUCUUCUACCUGUACUCCAGUUAUUCAGGCAAGU